rnacentral:rRNA from 1 species
UAUGUGAUCGUCUCUCGCAUAUCAAUAAGCGGAGGAAAAGAAACUAACAAGGAUUCCCCUAGUAACGGCGAGUGAAGCGGGAAGAGCUCAAAUUUGAAAUCUUAAAGGGUUUCCCUUUACGAAUUGUAGUUUAAAGAAGUGUUUUUCUGUUGAGGUUUUGGUAAAAGUUCUUUGGAAUAGGACAUCAUAGAGGGUGAGAAUCCCGUAUUUGACCUUUACUUUCAACUUUGUGAUACACUUUCAAAGAGUCGGAUUGUUUGGGAAUGCAGUCCAAAAUGGGUGGUAAAUUUCAUCUAAAGCUAAAUAUUGGCGAGAGACCGAUAGCGAACAAGUACCGUGAGGGAAAGAUGAAAAGAACUUUGAAAAGAGAGUUAAACAGUACGUGAAAUUGUCAAAAGGGAAGCGUUUGACACCAGUGUUGUUUUUCUGAAAAUCAAUUAAAGAACUGUUUAUGCUAAGUUGUUUAGACUUUAUCAGCUAACUGUUUAGUUUUGAGCUUUUCUUUAAUGCACUUUUCAGUUAACAAGUCAACAUCAAUUUCUUUUGCUGUAAAAAAGCUUGAGGAAGGUGGCUUGAGAUUCGUCUUAAGUGUUUAUAGCCUCUUGCCUAUGCAGUCGGAGAGAUUGAGGUCUGCAGCGUAGAUCCUUCGGGGCUAAAUGCACUUUGUGCUAAGUUAUAGCAUUUUAUAGACAACUUGUUGACUAUGAUUUGUCUUGUAGCUUACUCGCUUAUGUUAUUUUACCUACGCUUAGGAUGUUGAUCUACAGAGCGAGAGU